UACGUAGGGGGGCUAGCGUUGUCCGGAAUCAUUGGGCGUAAAGCGCGCGUAGGCGGCCCGGUAAGUCCGCUGUGAAAGUCAAAGGCUCAACCUUUGAAUGUCAGCGGAUACUGCCAGGCUAGAGUCCGGAAGAGGCGAGUGGAACUCCUGGUGUAGCGGUGGAAUGCGCAGAUAUCAGGAAGAACACCAACGGCGAAGGCAGCUCGCUGGGACGGAACUGACGCUGAGGCGCGAAAGCGUGGGGGAGCGAACAGG
rnacentral:rRNA from 1 species